AUCUCAAACUUUAUUUGGAAUGCUCUUUCAAAAACAAAUGCCAUAGAUAUGAUGUUUGGAGGGUAAAAAAAAAGUAGGCAGUGGGGAAAAGGGAGCUAAAUUUGUGUUAGCUGCAAACACUUUUAUUCCCUAUACAUGCUUAGAUAAAAUGUGGAAUGAUAUGGAUGCUUUGAAAGACUGCGGUACAACUAUGUGCAUCAAUUUGAAACAAAUAGCAAACUUUAUUUUGAAUGCUCUGUCAAAAACAAAUGCCAUAAAUGUGGCGUUUAGAGGGUUAAAAAAAACAUGAGUAAGCAGUGGGAAAAAGAAUUUCUUUUUCUCCUAUACAUGCUUGGGCAAAAUGUGGAAUGAUAUGGAUGCUUUGAAAGACUGUGGUACAACUAACUAUUUGCAACAUCAACUUUAAACAAAUCGCAACAAAAAGAGUAUGGAAUGGGAAAAAGGAGCAAACAGUUCGUGUUAGCUGCAAACUUUUUUUUUUUUUUU